GUGAUUUAGUUGUAAUCCAAAUAAAGCGGAUAAAAUGUAUAGCCUAAUGAGUCCAACACUUUUGGAUGUAAUUAAUACAAUAGAACAGCAUUUGUUGAUGUGGCCAGGGUCUUACCUGUUGGAAUACAGAAACUGUGAUGCUACUUGAUCAUGACAAAAACAUUUUUAAGAGCUAUGCAAGGAAGUGGAAGGUUUUUUUAAAUCUCUUUAAAAAAUUGACAUGUUGAU